rnacentral:ncRNA from 1 species
CAAAUGACAAUGAACAGACUAGUAAAGUGCUUCUAGCAGCUAAGAGAGUCCAGGCUGGUGGGAAUGGACCUGUUAAAGUACUUGAAUCACAUCUGUGAGUUGACCUUCUGAAGCCUAGUAGGUUGGUCCGGGGUCGCCCGUUACAGCACGGAGUUUAUCAUAAUGAACUCGCUAAGGCCAGUUACCGUGAGGGACUGGCAAGAUGAGGUGGAACCGCGGAAACGCCCUCGGAGCCAAAUUGGCUCGGGGGUGUUUUUGUUUUCCAGCGAGGUGGGCGCAGACAUGAUGAACUUACCGAGGCGGGUGCUGUGAAGCGGCCGCAAACUGAGGUGGUACCACGAUUGAUUCGUCCUCUAG